GUGCUCGCUUUAGCAGCACAUAUACUAAAAUUGGAACGAUACAGAGAAGAUUAGCAUGACCCCUAAGCAAGGAUGACCGGAAAGAAACACAAUUAAUAAAAUUAGAU